CCUACGGGAGGCUGCAGUGGGGAAUAUUGGACAAUGGGCGAAAGCCUGAUCCAGCCAUGCCGCGUGUGUGAAGAAGGCCUUCGGGUUGUAAAGCACUUUCAGUGGGGAAGAAAGCCUUGGGGCUAAUACCCUCGAGGAAGGACAUCACCCACAGAAGAAGCACCGGCUAACUCCGUGCCAGCAGCCGCGGUAAUACGGAGGGUGCGAGCGUUAAUCGGAAUUACUGGGCGUAAAGCGCGCGUAGGCGGUCUGAUAAGCCGGUUGUGAAAGCCCCGGGCUCAACCUGGGAACGGCAUCCGGAACUGUCAGGCUAGAGUGCAGGAGAGGAAGGUAGAAUCCCCGGUGUAGCGGUGAAAUGCGUAGAGAUCGGGAGGAAUACCAGUGGCGAAGGCGGCCUUCUGGACUGACACUGACGCUGAGGUGCGAAAGCGUGGGUAGCAAACAGGAUUAGAUACCCUAGUAGUC
rnacentral:rRNA from 1 species